AUGGCAUGCUUCAAGGUGCAUAUACCCAUGGAACAGGUGUGCUCUGUCGUCGUGACAACGUCUCCAAUGAUGGUGUUCAUCUCAGACCUGCUAAACGAUUGUGUGAGCUGGGCUGAUCAGACAAGCGAGGAAUGGCACCCCGCUUUUGGUUUUGGAGAAGGGGAGUUCAGGACUGGGGAUUGGGGCUUUGGCGAUGGUCACAAGAACUUGACAUCCUUUGCGGGCAGCAUGUACAUCACAUAUAAGUAUGGAUCCAUCAUAUCAACAAUCACUGAUGUGUACAAGGAAGGUAACCAAUGGAAACGCUCCGCGGGGACAAUCUCCAUGUUCACCACCAUUGUCGGCCCAAAUUUUGAGCUAGCCCAUGGGAGCAAUAACUUCUAUCUCGUUGAAUCUGAUGGGGAGCUUCUUCUGGUGAUGGAUGGGCGCAUUUGUAAUGGCAUGCCGGUGGUCUACAAGGUGGACACCGUGAACAAGGUGCUCGUGCCGGUCAGAAGCAUCGGUAGUUGCGCGCUGUUUGUCAGCUCGCGCAGGUGCCUCUCCAUCGACACCACGAAAUCCAACAAGUUCCACUCCAUCGAAUCUGGCACAAUCUACUACGCGGAUUGCUCCGUGGUUAGAGCUUAUGAUCAAGGGAGUCUCGCUGGCAGUGGAUGGGAAGAGGAGCCCAAGUAUGUAUUUGAAUCUGCAAUAAAUCCUUUCUCUAAAAUGGCUGAGCUGUUGGUGAAUUACUGCACUACUAUCGAGUACUCGGAACUGCAGAUGCUGCCGCCUUACGGUGAGGAGGGCUACACUUUCUAUGAGUAUGUCGACCCAUCAGACUAA
rnacentral:rRNA from 1 species